CCUUUUCUUACUUUUGGCUCACUGAUUUUUUUGCAUCACAUUGGAUUCUGGGGAAGUUUCUUCCUUUUUUCCUGUAUUUUAUUUUCUAAAAAUUUACUGCGCCUUCCCAUUUUUUCCCCCCGCUCGUGGGUUUCUAGAAGUGUUCAUUUGAUUUCUCUCAUUUUGGAAGGGAAUUUGUGACGGCGGCGUCUCUCUAAGUGAUGGGCCCUGUUCCACCUGGAGUGCCAGGGCGCCGUUUUCUGAAGGGUAACCUGCUCGCGGUCUGGGUGACCACUGUGGAUGACAAUCAGAGAGUGUGGCCGGCGUCUCGGCGUGGUACACAUAACGUGUUUUAAAGAAAUGCCCGUGCUCGGCGCCGGCGGGUGCCGCGAAGCACCGCACCUUGUUCGCCCGCUCCGUCCUCUCCUUCUGUUUCCUCUCUGUGUCCUCUGUUUCGCUGUCUCUCUGUGUCUCACGAUCACCCUUGUUCUCUCUCUUUCACACUAACUCGCUCUCCUAACAGGGGAAUGAGUGGUGUGCUGAGCCGGAGCUCUUUCUGGGACAGGUGCCAACUGCAAACAAAAGAAAUUAAAAGGCAAAAUAAUAAUGAUAAUAAUAAUAAUAAUAAUGAUAAUUGUUGCAAUUGCGAAAUUCAAAUUGUUGUGGCAAAAUGUCAGUAGUAGCACUUCAUGUUGUGUCCGAUUGACCCACUAUUGCUCUUAUUGCAUGAUGGUAUGAAGUUUUAUAACUGCUUUUGUGGACAAAGCUGUUGGUAUCAGGGGUUUGAAUACUUUGCCACACUUAUUCUAGUGAAGGCAUUUUAUUCGGGGAGAGGGAGGGAGUAAUGUGGGAGAGCAGCAUAUAGAUUGCUGAAUUAUUCAUGUGCUCAGCCAAGGCUGUGACUGGACUGGUUGUGCUAUUUGCAUGCAUCAGACAUGCUGUUUGUCUGUUUGCUAACAUUCCUCAUUGAAAGACUUGUUAACUAGCAGAGGGGCUUAGCUGGAGCCUUGCAGACAGCCUCAUGGCCUCCUAUUGUUUCAGGCCUCGCCAGGCCUGGACCCAGCUGGUGGCAGGCAAGCCGUGCAACCCCGAGCUUGGGGGCUGAGACAGUGGCUGAAAGAGGGUGCUCAAGCUGGAUCUGGGGCUGAGGCACGGCCGUGAACAGGGCAGUCCGAGGGGGGAAACCGCCGGGUCUUGCAAGAAGCACCAAACGGGAGCUUAUGGCUUUCUCCUCUUCUUAGCAGAGAUGUGGAUCAAAGUGGAGAACGCUGCCGAAAUUCACGCCCAGGCUGGACAUUUACCAUCUUGGCCCUCGGAAAUGGGCUGUAAGAUUGGGGCUUUUGGCCACAGGCACAAACAAUUUGGCCAACAAGUGAAAUCACGGACAGACAGGCUGGCAGUCGCAGCAGCGUUGCCGAGACUACCUGACGCGCUGCAGAAACGAUGAUGGAGGGAGGAGGUGCUAUGCCACUGCAGCCCCCUCCCCGCCGCAUGUUGCAGAGCAGGUGAGAAACAUUAACAGAGGCAGCAGCUGCGACCCUCUGCUCCGCACAUGUGGGCCAGGAUAUGAGCUAGCUCGAGUUCGCCCACUCUCAACACUGGUCAGUAAUGUUAACACUCUCCUCUCAGAACCACAGAAAACAGCGCUGGGAGACUGGAAACGGAGAGUUUAUUGUUCCUGAACAAUGAUGUCAAGCUGUAAAUCAGUGGUUCAGUAAGGAUUUUAUAUUAGCAGAUUUAGUAAUUAUAUGGGAUGCAGACAUGUGAACCCAGACUGAACCAAACCUAAGUUCCCUUUCAACUGUCCUAUCACCCAGUGUAGUAUGACAUACUAAAAUCUAAAAGCUAAAAGCUUAGAUUAUAUUAAUUUAACACUACAUUUCGAUAGUUUUGAGAUCUCACGACUAUUUUCUGUAAGCUCAUCAUCACGCACACUUUAAGUUACUCACUAGCUGCAUUUGAAUAUGGAAAUGUCUUUCUAUGCGAUGUAUGCGAGACGUGUGUAUUGUUGCAUUAUUUGAAUUCCCUCCUCAGCGCGAGCCACGAACUGGGAGAAGCAGAUGUCACAUUGUGUUCCGAGGCGUCCCAGAGGAGAGCGGCAUGUGUGCAUUUGUGUUUCCGAGAAGUCAUAACCACUGUUUUGCAUUCAGUGAGGUGCGUCGAGGCGGACUACCUGCAUGACCCGGGGACCUGAAACGACUUUGUUUUAAAAGACUGUCCUUUGGGGUGAGGUAGUAGGUUGUAUAGUUUUAGGGUCACACCCUUCCUGUCAGAUAACUAUACAACUUACUGUCUUUCCUGAAGUGGCUGUAAUGUCAUCAGAUGCCAUUGUUGCGGCUUUUGGAUCCUGAUCAACGCUCGAACGUGCAUGUUUACCCGCUGACUGCAACGUAACUCAGGUACUUUGCCAUCUCUUCAUUUUCAUGGUUACACUUUUACAGUCAAUAAAAAUUGGACUUUCUUUGUAAUGAACAGCAAUAAAUAUUAUCUUAAUAUCUCAUGAGGCAAUGCAUACAGCGUGACCUUUAUGUACAAAAGCAUGCUUUCAUCUGAUUGUCAUUCUCUUUAUUUUUAUCUUUGUUUGAAUGAAUGAAUGAGGAUGUAUUUAUUGGCUGCAAGAAACUGUACACUGUGUACAUAAGGUAAGUCAAACCACCGUAAUGGCGUUAAGAUGACAUGUCGGACCUUUUCUGAUGUUCGUACGGGGUGAGGUAGUAGGUUGUGUGGUUUCAGGGUAGUGAUUUUGCCCAAUCAGGAGAUAACUAUACAACCUACUGCCUUCCCUGAAGGGCAGCAAUACUACACCAUGCAGACACAUGGCAGCGUCUUGGUAAUGCCAACAGAAAAACAUCCAAGAUCAGAACACCAAACCGCUUUUUUUGAAGUGCAAAACAGGUGUCCACGUCCCAUAAUGCCACAGCUGCUGCAGAACCACCAGGUAUAGUCUGUUCACUAUGGGAUUUGUCACCGAGUUGGAUGUUUUUUUGUUUGUUUUUUUUGGCUUCAAAUAAUAUUAUUAAUAAAAUGAUGAUAAACCA